UGGCGACCGGCAAACGGGUGCGGAACACGUACACAACCUUCCUUUUAGUGGGGAAUAGCCCAGAGAAAUUUGGAUUAAUACCCCGUAACAUAACUGAGUGGCAUCACUUGGUUAUUAUAGCUUCGGCGCUAAAUGAUGGGUGUGCGUAUGAUUAGAUAGUUGGCGAGGUAACGGCUCACCAAGUCUACGAUCAUUAGCUGAUGUGAGAGCAUGAUCAGCCACACGGGCACUGAGACACGGGCCCGACUCC
rnacentral:rRNA from 1 species